CCGAUUGGCUCAGUCGGUUUGGGUGUCAGCAUGGCGUGCUGGCGGUCGCGGGUUCGAUUCCCGGCGUCGUAGA
rnacentral:tRNA from 1 species